rnacentral:tRNA from 1 species
GGAGAGGUGGCCGAGUGGUUGAAGGCGCACGACUCGAAAUCGUGUAUGCGCGCAAACGUAUCGGGGGUUCGAAUCCCCCCCUCUCCG